rnacentral:rRNA from 1 species
AGCGGCGGACGGGUGAGAUUGGAGGGGGUAACCUGCCCUAUACACACGGAUAACAUACCGAAAGGUAUGCUAAUACGAGAUAAUAUAAGAGAUUAACAUGGAUUUCUUAUCAAAGCUGAGGCGGUAUAGGAUGGACCCGCGUCUGAUUAGCUAGUUGGUAAGGUAACGGCUUACCAAGGCGACGAUCAGUAGCCGACCUGAGAGGGUGAUCGGCCACAUUGGAACUGAGACACGGUCCAAACUCCUACGGGAGGCAGCAGUGGGGAAUAUUGCACAAUGGGCGAAAGCCUGAUGCAGCAACGCCGCGUGAGUGAUGAAGGCCUUCGGGUCGUAAAACUCUGUCCUCAAGGAAGAUAAUGACGGUACUUGAGGAGGAAGCCCCGGCUAACUACAUGCCAGCAGCCGCGGUAAUACGUAGGGGGCUAGCGUUAUCCGGAUUUACUGGGCGUAAAGGGUGCGUAGGUGGUCUCUUAAGUCAGGAGUGAAAGGCUACGGCUUAACCGUAGUAAGCUCUUGAAACUGGGAGACUUGAGUGCAGGAGAGGAAAGUGGAAUUCCUAGUGUAGCGGUGAAAUGCGUAGAUAUUAGGAGGAACACCAGUAGCGAAGGCGGCUUUCUGGACUGUAACUGACACUGAGGCACGAAAGCGUGGGGAGCAAACAGGAUUAGAUACCCUGGUAGUCCACGCCGUAAACGAUGAGUACUAGGUGU